rnacentral:rRNA from 1 species
GACGAACGCUGGCGGCGUGCCUAACACAUGCAAGUCGAGCGAGUGAAUCUCCUUCGGGAGUGAAGCUAGCGGCGGACGGGUGAGUAACACGUGGGCAACCUGCCUCAUAGAGGGGAAUAGCCUUUCGAAAGGAAGAUUAAUACCGCAUAAGAUUGUAGCUUCGCAUGAAGUAGCAAUUAAAGGAGCAAUCCGCUAUGAGAUGGGCCCGCGGCGCAUUAGCUAGUUGGUGAGGUAACGGCUCACACAGGCGACGAUGCGUAGCCGACCUGAGAGGGUGAUCGGCCACAUUGGGACUGAGACACGGCCCAGACUCCUACGGGAGGCAGCAGUGGGGAAUAUUGCACAAUGGGGGAAACCCUGAUGCAGCAACGCCGCGUGAGUGAUGACGGCCUUCGGGUUGUAAAGCUCUGUCUUCAGGGACGAUAAUGACGGUACCUGAGGAGGAAGCCACGGCUAACUACGUGCCAGCCGCCGCCGUAA